rnacentral:rRNA from 1 species
UACGUAGGUGGCAAGCGUUGUCCGGAAUUAUUGGGCGUAAAGCGCACGCAGGCGGUCCUUUAAGUCUGAUGUGAAAGCCCACGGCUCAACCGUGGAAGGUCAUUGGAAACUGGAGGACUUGAGUACAGAAGAGGAAAGCGGAAUUCCACGUGUAGCGGUGAAAUGCGUAGAGAUGUGGAGGAACACCAGUGGCGAAGGCGGCUUUCUGGUCUGUAACUGACGCUGAGGCGCGAAAGCGUGGGGAGCAAACAGG